UUUAAUAAUGAAAUAGCUAAAUUAACAUCAUUGUUCAAGUGGUGAACUUGGUUCGUUGAGUGUCACAAAAAAACCUAAAAAAAUAUUUAAAAAAUAAUUAAAUACAUGUUUAUUUAAACAAAAAAUUUCGUUUUUAUUCAAAUUAUUAUAUUACCCUAAACAAACUAGCGUUUUUUAAAGAAUUAUCAAACAAAAUCAAUUUUUUGCGCUUUUUUUAUAAAAGCGCGUGGGGCGUUCUUUGAAAGACUUGUAAAAAAGUCGGGCGUUAUCCCGCUUUUUUUAUUUUAAAACGAUUUUAUCGGUUUUAAAUGUAAGU